AGUGCUCACUUUGGCACUAUAAAAAUUAAAAUUGGAACAAUACAGAGAAGAUUAGCAUGGCCCCCUCUACAAGACUGACAUGCAAAUUUGUGAAGUAUUCCAUAUUUUA
rnacentral:snRNA from 1 species